UGAUCACUAUGCCAUCAACAUAUCAUCUCCAC
rnacentral:piRNA from 1 species